GGAUGCGAUCAUACCAGCACUAAAGCACCGGAUCCCAUCAAAACUCCGAAGUUAAGCGUGCUUGGGCGAGAGUAGUA
rnacentral:rRNA from 1 species